GGCCAUCCAUUGGAGGUAGGCGGAGACUUCUCACAGCCGAGCAGGAGACUGCCCUGGUGAAUAUGGCGAUUGCCAAUAAUGCAAUCCGUUUGAGGGAAAUUCAAACCCAAAUAGUUGCAGACCAGGGAGUCUUCAAGGAAUUGACAGCAUCAAUAUUUCCACAAUUGACCGGAUCGUUCAGAAGAACCACAUAAGGACAAGGCAGCUGUACCGUGUGCCUUUUGAGAGGAAUUCAGAGAUAAGGAGCAACGAUUCCAAUAUGUGCAGUAUCUUUGAGCUGGAUGCCAUGGCUGACCCACAGUAGUACAUUUUCAUCGCCUAGGCAGGGUUCAACCCAACAAAAGGGGGCACAACAUCAUUGGUCACCGUGCCAUCAUACAAGUUCCUGGUCAGAGGGGAGGCAACGUCACCCUAUGUGCAGCCAUCAGCAAUCGUGGCAUCCUUUCACCGCCAUGUCAAACAUAUUCCCCAUUUCUGAAUCCAAUCGAGGAAUUUUUCUCAACAUGGCAGUGGAGAGUGUUUGACUGCAACCUCUACGCACAGCAAAACCUCCUGGAGGCAAAGGUGGAUGCCUGUGGUGAUGUGCCUGCAGUGUCUAGCCAGGGUUUUCUAAGGCAUACAAGGGCAUUUUCCCCACACUGCCUGGUAAGGUCAAACAUAAUGUGUGACAUUGAUGAUGAGAACACUG